UUGUUCGCAUUAAAAGAAAGCCCAAUCCUCAGAACAGGGAAUUCAACUUUCAGGGUGGGGGACGACUCCAUGUUCCUCCCAUCAACACCGGUCCUGCCGAAACCUCCUUCUCUCCUUUCCAUUCUCCUCCACGUCCAGAUGUCCCCCCUGUCCGGCCUCCCUCGGUGCUGAGCCAAGCCAGUCUGGGGCGGCCCCAGUUUAGCCCAGGUCAACCGGGACCUUGGAUUCCCGGAGACUCCUUGCCGAGGACCAAGCGGGAUGCCAGAUCGCCACGCAUGCCAAGGAUGCGGCCAUCCCUGCUGUCCUUUGACCUGGGACCGUACCUCACCCCGGAUUUUCUGGAAUGCAGUUGGAGUUGGAGACGGGCAGGAAGAAAGCUGUGAAAGACUGCAAGACAAGCUGGAAGCCCCAGGUUCAGUUCUCUGCUGCAGAGUUCCAGUGUAGGGGGUUCAACUUAACUAAUGACAGCUGACCACUUUAAUUCUUGGGGAAAAAACAUAAAUGCCC